ensembl:lncRNA
CUCCCCAAGCCCCCGGAAGUUGCUGCUGUUCCAGCAGCCUGGGGAUCGCGUCUCCUCGCCGUUUAAGGCUCGUCUUGGCUCUGCCGCUUGUCUUGUCGAUUUGUGACCUGACCGAAUUGUCGCACUGAACGCAUGAGUCGUAUGAAGGACGCCGGGGGACCCAGGAGCCCUAGAAAUGAUUUUGCUGAGGAAGACUGGCCCUGAGCUAACAUACGUGCCCAUCUUCCUCUGCUUUAUAUGUGGGAUGCCUACCACAGCAUGGUUUGCAAAACGGUGCCAUUUCCGCACCCAGGAUCCAAACCGGUGAACCCUGGGCCGCCAACGUGGAACGUGCGCACUUAACUGGUACGCCAUCGGGCCGGCCCUAUGUAAUUCUCUAAACAAUAAUUUUUAUGAAGUGUUCAAUACCUUUUUGCAAACCAUAAAACAUAAAUUUUCUCAAUUUUCUUCACAUAUUUCACCCUCCUUUCAUUUCUGAUAUUUGUAAAUUCUGUCUUCCUUUUUCCAGUUAUCGUGACUAGAUGUUUACCAGUUUUAUGUAACUAAUAUUUUCAAAGGAUCAGCUUUGGGUUUUGAAAACUAGGAGAGUGGGUUUCUUUUUAUAAAACUUUAAAUAUUUCACUCCACUCUCGCUUGCUUGGUUUCUGAAAAGAAGUCUGACUUAAGUCUAAUUUUUUUUCUCUGUAACGAAGGUGUUUUCUCCUCUGGCUGUUUUCAAUAUAUUCUGUCUUUGACUUUUCUCAAGUCUGAAUAUGAUAUACUCUGUGCAGUUUUGAUGUUUUCCAUGUUUCGUUCUCUGAGGAUUUUGGAUGUACAGUUUGCUAUCUAUGAUUAAUUUUAUGUUAAACUCAGUGAUUUUUACUUCACUUUUUUCUUCUGUUCCUUUUUGUAUGUCUUUUACUUCGGGUAUUGAAAUAGUCAUUGAUGAUUAAGUAGCUAGGAACUAAAGUUUUUUUCCUUUUUGCAAUUACUGAUUAUAGCUUUUAGCUGUUAACCCAACAACCAUUGUUAACUGGGCUGUUUAGGCAAUAUGCUAUCUGACUCCCACUACAUUCCUCUAGAGAACAUCUCCCUGGAGCCUGGGUCACCGUGGUAAUGGGUGUUUGAGCUGUUCUUCAGGAAUUAGAACCCCUUUGUUCACUUGAAGCCAGUUGAAACCACCAGCUCAUCAACUGGGCCUGUGCGGAUGUGCGAUAGGCAACCUUUUGACAUCAAGAGGCUAAAAACUCCACCUUCAGAUCAUGCCAAUGCCGCCAGUUCAUGAGCAUGCAUCCUGUGAAGAGGCAUAGAGUCUGACCAUGCUUCAUAGAUCACCUCUUACCUCACCUCUUCUCACCUCCAAUCACCUACCUCCACAUUUCAGACCACCUUUCUGCCAUCCCAUAAAUAUCCCUGAGUCCCUAUUUUUGGGGAAGUAGAUUUGAGACUCAUGCUCUCACUUCCUCACGUGGCUGCCUUGUGAUUAAACCCUCUCUCUGCGGCAAUCUCGUCAUCUUGGUGAUUGGCUUUCCGGGUGGCAGGCAAAAACAAACCUGAUGUGGUAACAGUUUUCCCAUUUGUGUAUUUUAAACCUUCUGUCAUUGCUUUAUGUUUUAUUUGGGGGGGGGGUGGUUUCAGCUUUAUUGAGAUAUAAUUCACAUACCAUAAAAUUUUCCCUUUUUAUACAAUUGAAUGUUACUUAGUAUAUUCAGAGUUGUGCGACCAUCACCACUAUAUAAUUUCAGAACAUUUUCAUCACCCCAAAAAGAAACUGUGUACCCCUUAGCAAGCACUCCCCAUUCUUUACCCUCGACCCCCUGCCAGCCCCUGGAAACCACUAAUCUACUUUCUAUUUCUAUGGAUUUGUCUAUUCUGGACAUUUCGUAUGAUUGGAAUCCAGAAACAUGUGGUCUUUUGUGACUGGCUUCUUUCACUUGUUGGUUCACAAACUGGGCCCACACACGGAGGGCAAAGAGAGAAGGAAGAAAGAGAGGCAGACACUCGAUGGAUGGGGGCAGGUUUAAUCAGUGAGGGAACUUAUGACACUUGCCUUGGGCAGCUACAAGAUGACCUCCGCACCGCCCAGCAGAAUCUUAAAAGUUUAUAUAGAAGCCUUAGUGGGGUUCAGUCAUAUAGACCAUCCAGAUGGUCUCGACAACUCAUUACUCUCUCAAGGCUAUGUCCUUGAAAACAGCUCCCACUGUGGGAAUGGUGGGGAGUGUGCAUUCCAAGGACAGGGGAGGAGUGAGAACCUUUCAAAUGCCCAGUUCUUGGGUCGAGUGGCGGUCACGUCCUCUUGAUUACCUCCUCCAACAUCACUUAGCAUGUUUUCAAGGUUCAUCCAGGUUGGAGCAUGUAUCAGGAAUUCAUUCCUUUUUAUGGCUGAAUAAUCACUCAUUAUGUGGAUACACCACGUUGUCUUUAUCCAUUCACCAGCUGAUGGACAUUUGUUUAUUUCCAUCUUUUGUCUAUUAUGAAUAAUGUUGACAUAAGCAGUUGUAUACAAAUGUUUUAAUGGUCAUGUUUUCAGUUCUCUUGGGUAAAUAUGUGGGAGUGGAAUUGCUGGUUCACGGUAACUCUAUUUUUAAUCUUUUAGAGGAACAGCCAGACUGCUUUCCAAAGCAGUUGCACCAUUUUACAUUCCUAGCAGCAGUGUAUGAGGGUUCCAAUUCCCCACAUCCCAGCCAACACUUAUUAUUGUCCACCCUUUUCCUCACAGCCAGCCUAGUGGGUUGCGGUGGAGUUUUUAUAACAAAAAGUGACAGUUAAAAGACUCUGGGUGGGGCCAGCCCGGUGGCACAGUGGUUAAGUGUGCAUGGUCCGCUUCGGCGGCCCUGGGUUCACCAGUUUGGAUCCCGGGUACAAACGUGGUACCACUUGGCCAGCCAUGCUGUGGUAGGCGUCUCACAUAUAAAAUAGAGGAAGAUGGGCACAGAUGUUAGCUCAGGGCCAGUCUUCCUCAGCAAAAGGAGGAGGAUUGGCUGCAGAUGUUAGCUCAGGGCUAGUCUUCCUCAAAAAAAAAAAAAAGACUGGGGAAGCACAUUCUCUGGUCAGCCACAGGACCCCAUCAACCACCAGCAGCAGGACAGUGGACAAUACUGACAGCACUGCCCUAUCCUCUGCCUGUGGGCUGCUCCCUGACAGUUAAUGGCAGUGGUUCCCAAAAUGUGGUCCUCAGACCAGCAGCACCAGCAGCACCUGGGAGCCAGCCAGAAAUGCUGAGUCUCAGACUCUGUCCGAGACCUCCUGAGUCAGAGGCUCUGGGUUGGGAACCAGCUCUAGUGAUCCCAGUGAGUCUGAUGCCGCCCAAGCCCAGGGGAGGCAGGCUCUGCUGCAGAGCGUCUUUGCCCCUCAGUGCCGGCUGUGCCUACCUGGUUAGUGAUGAAUAAGAUGCACCAGAUCCACCAUCCCUUGCGAGUGACGAUGACAGUGACCAAGGAGAGAGCUUUUUGAAGGAUUCAAUCAUGCAACUCAGGUGGAAGAGUUUGACACUUCCCAGGGAUGAGUGACACUGCCGAUGUAAAAUGUUCGCAAUAACUAAUUUUGGACUCAGAAAACCUAGCUGGAAGGUAAACAGGACUUUGACAAGCACCAUCCAAGGCAGUAACCUAGAUUAGUUUCCCUCACACUUGCUGUUUUAAAUAUUCCUUUUCCAUUCAAAAUUUCAAAGAGCAUGCUGUCAUAGUUCUCCUUCAGCUCUUUAGAAGGAGGAUGGCACAGGAGCUUCACAGAAGAAUGGUUCAAAAUGGUAAAGAUGCCUCACCAAUACCAUGUGCAACAUAGCCCAAUACUCCUGUAACUCCUUACCAUCUAAAAACAUGAGGAAAAGAUGUUGUUUGGAGAAUUACUCUAUGUUUCUUUCAUAUUCUGCCAUUUAAAAACCUUCUCUAUAGGAGCCAGCCCGGUUGCGCAGUGGUUAAGUGUGCACAUUCCCCUUCUGGGCGGCCCGGGGUUCGCUGGUUCAGAUCCCGGGUGCAGACAUGGCACCGCUUGGCAAGCCAUGCUGUGGUAGGCGUCCCACAUAUAAAGUAGAGGAAGAUGGGCAUGGAUGUUAGCUCAGGGCCAGGCUUCCUCAGCAAAAAAGAGGAGGACUGGUAGUAGUUAGCUCAGGGCUAAUCUUCCUCAAAACAAACAAACAAACAAAAAAACAAACAAACAACUUUCUCUAUAUACAUUUCCUACAAGCUUACAAAUGGGGGAAGCCUCUUUGUAGCAACAUCUUUGUUACUUCCUUCAGAUACAGGUUAGACUCCUGCUUCUCUGCAUCUUCCCCUGGGAGAGAUCAGCCUUGGAAAGCGAAGCCAGACUUGAAUCAAGCUGGAUUUGCUCUUGCUUACCUGCUUCCGCCAGGUCCCCAGGAGGGGUAGAACCUCACACGUGUACGUGACACAGGGGAAGACCACACAGCUGAACAUCAAAAUACUCAGAGCAGAAUUGCUGUAACUAUUCCAUUUGUUCCUUCAAUCCCAACCCUCCCUCCCUGGACUGGUUUUAUAGCAUUCCUCUUGUUUGAGAUAUCAUAGUGUCUCUGAGUAAAUUCCAAACCUGAUAGGUGUCCAGGACGUCCUGAGCAGUGAGUCUUUCUGCAGUCUGGCUCUUACAUGCCUUAUGAAUAUAAACAAAUGGAAUCAGACCAUAUCACUGCCUUCAAUGUGCCCCAAAAGGACACUGAAGACAUCUAAAAUCUUUCGGAUGUCGAUCUUCUCGUCAUACGAGGGCAUGAGAUCAUCAUGAAAAGGCGUGUCUUCUCCAUAGGGCCACAGCUGCUCUGGAGCCACAAAAUCGCCAUGAAGCUCCACCAACACCCUGGAGCUGCGGUUCGGUAGGGGCAAGGCGUCCAGGUUUUCCACCACAAUGCUGAAGUUCCUUGUCGGCAGACACUGGGACAGCAUCUUGGACAGGUCGCUGGAGUGGCACAUGACCAGUGUGCCCAGGGGCCUGUGGUGCAGGUAGUUGAUGAUGCUGACACAGUCCAUGGCCAGCUGCAGCCUGUGCUGCCACGUGUUCACAUUUUGGUACUUGGAAAGGUUUAGUGUUUCUUCCAGGUUGCUCAAGGCACCUAAGUGGUGAUAUUCCGUAAGAACAGUGUUGUCUUCCUCACAGCAGCCAAGCAGCGUGACAACAUGCUGACUCUGCAAGGAUUUCAGCAUCUGCAGCCCAUGGAGGAAAUCAUCUUUCAGCUCCAGGCUGGUGAACUGUGAGAGAGCAACUUUGCCUUCCUUCCGCUCGGACAGAAAGACUUGGGCUUCUGCAACAGUCUGCUGCAUGGUCUCCCACUUAUUUCCCUUCUCCAAUCCAUUCUCCACAUAGCAAAUAGGAUCUCUUUUCCUUUUCCCCCUUCAGGUCCCACCGCACAGCAAGGAUGGCGAGGACUGGCCGGGGCCGGGGAAGGGCUGUGCUGGUGGGCCGAGGCCACCACCCACAGGGUGCAGCGAGGGUGCCCCUGUCCUGGCCCCCACCACCCUGCUUCCCCAGGCGCCCCUCUUUGGCCUGCCGCUGCUUUAUGUUUUAAGGAUAUUGUGUUCUGUCUCAUUUACUCUUUUUUUGUCUCUGCAUUAGCCUCUGGUGGAAUAGAUUGUUUUCAGUAUGAGCCUUGUUAAGAAUAUUUGGGGAAUACUUUUAAAUGCCAUCUUUAUUUUCUCUCUUCCAGUUUUGAGUGGUUUGCCUAUGAUCUCAGUGCUCUCAUGGAUCUAAGAAGAGUUGUUCAUUUCAAGUUUUUUUUCUUUUUCCUACCAGGUCAGGAACUGCUUGGAUGUGGAUGUGAGCAGAGAGCAGGAAUAUCGAAAGCUCUACUUCCCUGUGAUUAAUAAUUAAGAUUCCUCAUAAAUAAAUACGCAUGGUUCAUUUUUGCA